rnacentral:lncRNA from 1 species
CUAAAAGCUCUUUGUACUAUUUCUGUCUCCUCUUCGACUCUGGGCUCCUUUUCAGUUAAUUUGCAACAGCUUCUACACCUGGUAGGUGACUGGACCCAUGAUCCACCAAAUAAUUCCUAAUUCUUCAAACUCUAUUCAGUAUUUUUUGUCACCAGUAAUCAUAAUUUGUAUUUACCUUUGUUUUUUUUUUUUACCAAAUAUCAAGCCUUUUUAAAAUAUGAAUAUGUUCAAGAUCCACUGAUUUUAUUUUUAUUAUAUAAAGUUGAUUCUCUUCAUUUUACAGAUAAUGAAAUGUCAGUAUAGUAAUUGAAUGUCAGCUGUAGUGCUCAGAAGAAUAAGAUUUCCGGAGAAGGUCUCCCUUGAUCUAUUUCUAGCAAUGAAGGCAUCUAGAUCAGUAGCUCUUGAGGAACACCCACAUUUUUCGGAUCAUCAAAAGCCAUGCAACAGUGUGGUGAAUGCAUCCCCUACUGAAGAAGAAAAGGAGAAUUGUACAGAGAGCACCUGAUUGUAGCAGAUCAGAAGGACUGUGUUUGACCCUACUUGAAAAAAAUAGAAAAAAGCAAAGACAAAAGUUGAAUAAAUAAAAAUAUGACCAACCUGCAAACUGUUACUGAUCAAUGGAUGCAUUCACCGAGUAUUCAUUUCUGUAUGUGUGUGAUGUUUGAGGUGUCCUGAAAGGAACAGGAACUAUAUAAAGUUUAUCUUUAAGCUAUGUGCUUUUGCGACUGCCACAAGGUUUCACUUGUGUCACUAAAUUACUGAAAGUGUUGAAAGAAAGAAAACUGGGGAUGACCACAGAUGUUUGCAGUUUUCAAUUUGCUGACUUGAAUAUUUGCAACUGGUUAUUUAACACAUGUAUAUAAUUUCAGUUGAUUAUUUCUAUAUAUGCUUUCAGUCAGUAUUUCCUAUAAUUAAAAAGAGAUUUGUAUUUUUUCCUAUUAUCUGUUCUGGGUUAAGUCAAGUACUUAUAAUCUCCAUUUCUAUUGCUAGUCUUUAUAUUAAAAAUACUUUUUCC